rnacentral:ncRNA from 1 species
CUACGGACUUGAUUGUAUUGAGCCUUGGUAUGGAAACCUGCUAAGUGGUAACUUCCAAAUUCAGAGAAACCCUGGAAUGAAAAAUGGGCAAUCCUGAGCCAAAUCCCUUUUUUGAAAAACAAGUGGUUCUCAAACUAGAACCCAAAGGAAAAGGAUAGCUGCAGAGACUCAAUGGAAGUUGUUCUAACGAAUUGAAGUAAUAACGAUUAAUCACAGAACCCAUAUUAUAAUAUAGGUUCUUUAUUUUAUUUUUAGAAUGAAAUUAGG